rnacentral:rRNA from 1 species
AUACGGAGGAUGCAGGCGUUAUCCGGAUUUAUUGGGUUUAAAGGGUGCGUAGGCUGUUCGGAAAGUCAGGGGUGAAAGCCCGGCGCCUAACGCCGGAACUGCCUUUGAUACUUCCGAGCUGGAAUACGGAUGCCGUGGGAGGAAUGAGUAGUGUAGCGGUGAAAUGCAUAGAUAUUACUCAGAACACCGAUUGCGAAGGCAUCUCACGAAUCCGUCAUUGACGCUGAGGCACGAAAGCGUGGGGAUCAAACAGGAUUAGAUACCCUGGUAGUCCACGCAGUAAACGAUGAUAACUAACCGCUGGGUCGUAGUGAUUCAGUGGCCAAGCGAAAGCGAUAAGUUAUCCACCUGGGGAGUACGACCGCAAGGUUGAAACUCAAAUGAAUUGACGGGG